AAUAAACCAAUUUUUCACUUUUUACCUACAAUUUUUGACUCUUCGUCUUAUUCAAUUUUUUUUACGAUUAAUAUUUUUUAUUACAUGAUAAAUCAUGAAUAGUACUCUACGUAUGACUAAUUUUUUUCUAAUUUCUGAAAUUUUUUCAAAUAAGACAGAUGAUCAAACGUUGGACACGGUAACCGGAG
rnacentral:pre_miRNA from 1 species